UGUGCUUUUGUAUGGUACUCUCAUGAUGUG
rnacentral:piRNA from 1 species